UGAGGAAUAUUGGUCAAUGGGCGAGAGCCUGAGCCAGCCAAGUAGCGUGCAGGAUGACGGCCCUAUGGGUUGUAAACUGCUUUUAUGCGGGGAUAAAGUGCAGGGACGUGUCCUUCAUUGCAGGUACCGCAUGAAUAAGGACCGGCUAAUUCCGUGCCAGCAGCCGCGGUAAUACGGAAGGUCCGGGCGUUAUCCGGAUUUAUUGGGUUUAAAGGGAGCGUAGGCCGUGGAUUAAGCGUGUUGUGAAAUGCAGGUGCUCAACGUCUGCACUGCAGCGCGAACUGGUCCACUUGAGUGUGCGCAACGCAGGCGGAAUUCGUCGUGUAGCGGUGAAAUGCUUAGAUAUGACGAAGAACUCCGAUUGCGAAGGCAGCUUGCGGGAGCACAACUGACGCUGAAGCUCGAAAGUGCGGGUAUCGAACAGGAUUAGAUACCCUGGUAGUCCGCACGGUAAACGAUGGAUGCCCGUUGUCAGGCUGUUUCAGCCUGGUGACCAAGCGAAAGCAUUAAGCAUCCCACCUGGGGAGUACGCCGGCAACGGU
rnacentral:rRNA from 1 species